rnacentral:lncRNA from 1 species
GUCAUACAUGCAUUAAACAGGACACCACAAAUAACUCAGUUCAGUAGCAUCUCUUGUUGGUUUUCCUUAAACUGAACUGUAAAGUACGAUUUGGAAGGCAGUCUCCAGUAAUGACUAACAAACACCUCGGGAUUCCGGCUGCAUCUCUCACCACUGUGGAAACGGCACCCGGCACACAGUAGGUGUGCAGUUAAUGUGACAGAGGCUGAGGGAAUGAGAUCUGGUCUGUGCAUGAGGAGAGGUUGUGCUGCUCUCAGCCUUGGCCAGAGAAGCUGCUUCCGCGUGGGCAGUGGUUAAUGCAGACUCCUAACAGUCAAAGCACUUGUGUAAAUCCAGCAUGGGCCGCAUGGCUGUGACCCCAACACUCAGAAGUAAAGGCAGGAAGAUAAAACAUCCAAAGCUGGGGCUGCAGAGAUGGCUCAGAGGUUAAGAUCACUGGCUGCUCUUCCAGAGGUCCUGAGUUCAAUUCCUAGCAACCACAUGGUGGCUCACAACCAUCCUUUAUGAGAUCUGGUGCCCUCUUCUGGUGUGCACAUAUACAUGGAAGCAGAAUGUUGUAUACAUAAUAAAUAAAUGAAAUCUUAAAAAGUUUUUCUGUUUAAAAAAAUUCAAAGCCAUCCUCAGCUACAGAGUGAAUUUGAGGCCAGCCUGGAACACAGGAAGGAGACUGUCACACAAACAACAGAAGAGCUUCCAGCUCAGCCUGUUAGUGCCUGCUUGUUAUCUCAGCACUUGAGCAGCUGAGGCAGAAGGGUCAAGGGUUCUAAGCUAGUCUGAGCUAUAUAUAAAGACUGCAAAAAAAAAAAAAAAAAAAAGCAAACCUCUUCCCUCUUCUCCUCGCUUCCCUCUCUGGCUUGUAUUGUAGGUGUCCCCUGGCCUUGCGCAUGGUGGGCAAGUACUCUGCUUCCCUGGAGGAAGGUGAGGGGUCUGAGACGGGGUCUUGGUACACAUAGGCUGGCCUUAAAGUCUCCAUCCUCCAGCUCCCUAGCUCCCUAGUGCCAGAGUUAGAGGCAUCAUUACAC